AACUUUCAACAACGGAUCUCUUGGCUCUGGCAACGAUGAAGAACGCAGCGAAACGCGAAAGGUAAUGCGAAUUGCAGAAUCAGUGAGUCAUCGAAUUUUUGAACGCACAUUGCACCCCUUGGUAUUCCGGGGGGUACGCCUGUUCGAGCGCCAUCACACACCCCAAGCUCUGCUUGAUGUUGGACGAUGCCUUGGCCCUUCUGGGCUGGGGCACGUCUGGAACCCGUGGGCGCCCCCGCCGAACCACGAGCGUAGCAAGACGCAAGUCACUCGCUUCUGUCGGUCUCGGUGGAGGGUCUGCCUCAAUCCAUUUCUGAAGUUUGGCCUCGGAUCAGGUGGGGAUACCCGCUGAACUUAAGCAUAUCAAUAAGCGGAGGAAAAGAAACCAACAGGGAUUGCCUCAGUAACGGCGAGUGAAGCGGCAACAGCUCAAAUUUGAAAUCUGGGGCCUUCGGCUCCCGAGUUGUAAUUUGUAGAGGAUGCCUCGGGGGGUGCUUCGGCCCAAGUUCCUUGGAACAGGAUACCACAGAGGGUGAGAGUCCCGUAUCCGGCCGGCAGUACCCUCCGCGCGAGGCUCCUUCGACGAGUCGAGUUGUUUGGGAAUGCAGCUCUAAGCGGGUGGUAAAUUCCAUCUAAAGCUAAAUACUGGCCAGAGACCGAUAGCGAACAAGUAGAGUGAUCGAAAGAUGAAAAGCACUUUGAAAAGAGAGUCAAACAGUACGUGAAAUUGUUGAAAGGGAAGCGUAUGGGGGCAGACUUGGCCGCGGGGUUCAGGGUGUCUUUUGGCGCCUGUACUUCCCCGUGGGCAGGCCAGCAUCGGUUUUGGGGGUUGGAUAAAGGCGUCGGGAAUGUGGCUCCCCUCGGGGAGUGUUAUAGCCCGUCGCGCAAUGCAGCCACCCGGGAUCGAGGACCGCGCUUCGGCAAGGAUGCUGGCGUAAUGGCCUCAUACGGCCCGUCUUGAAACACGGACCAAGGAGUCUAACAUCUAUGCGAGUGUUUGGGUGUCAAGCCCGAGCGCGCAAUGAAAGUGAACGGAGGUGGGAGCCCGUAAAAAGGCGCACCAUCGACCGAUCCUGACGUCUUCUGAGGGAUUUGAGUAAGAGCAUAGCUGUUGGGACCCGAAAGAUGGUGAACUAUGCGUGAAUAGGGUGAAGCCAGAGGAAACUCUGGUGGAGGCUCGCAGCGGUUCUGACGUGCAAAUCGAUCGUCAAAUUUGCGUAUAGGGGCGAAAGACUAAUCGAACCAUCUAGUAGCUGGUUCCUGC
rnacentral:misc_RNA from 1 species